AAACAAGCAACGCACCGCUCGCAACACAUCUCCAAACGUAGUUUGAAAUAAGAGUAAACCAACAGAAUACAUUUUCAGGUGUAUAUUACAGAUGCACACGAAAUGUGUGUCCUACCCAGGGAAAAUCUCUGUGGUGUUCAGCAAGGGGCCACUUGGAUACCUUCCCCAGGACCCGUCGAAAGGAGCUAGACAGAUUAAAAAUGACCCCGAGCUGCAGUCGAGGAACAUGGUUGCAUAAGCUGCAGCAGUACCUGCGGAAGAAGCAGCAGUCUGCGUCUGCUUCCACAAACGCCCCAACUAAACAACCCCUUGGGAUGGAUGAGGAUAAAGACCUGGAGGACGCAAUGCUGAGCAUCUCACCUGCAAAACUACACAUGCAGAGCUUCACUGUGCCAGCAGCAGCAGAAGGGUCCACACUCAGAGGAUCUUCAGGAGCAAACAGGUUUUCAAAUGAAAGGUUUCAGAACUGGAGUACAAUUGUUUUACAUGACAAAUUGCUCUCCAAAGCUGAGCCUGAACUUUAACUUUUAUGUAUUGUCUUGUUCUUGUUUUUGUGUGUUCUGGCCACGCUCUGGCGAUGUUUCUCUAAUAGUAUAGUUGUAUGCUGGCAUUAUGCUAACUGUCAUAAGGACUAUGAAUUGAUACCUACCAUCAUGAAUUGAUACCAAACACAAAGGAUCCAUCUGCGGCGCUGUCCAUACCACCGUCCAGUACAACUGCUGAACCUCAGGCAUCUGCAGCCAAUGGUGCAGCCUCAGGUGUGAAGAUGAAGUUACCUGUGCCCUUCCCACAGGAGCUGGCAUUUCUACUAAAGGAGACCAUAGGACCCAGUUCAGAUGCUGCUUGCACAUCUGUGCGCAAAGUGCUUACUUUUGAAGACAGCAGUGAAGAUGCUCCUUCAGCUCAACCAGCCAUUCCAGUUCCAGUGCCUGGUUAUGAGCAUGACCUCAGCAGCUGGAAUUGUUCUCCACAUCAGAAGUUGUGGAUGAAGAUUGAGCUUCAGGAUCUUGGACUGUGGCCUUGGUCUCGACCAGUGCAUCACCCAGGGAACGCGAUUUCACUCUGGGGUCUCCCUCCACAACCUGAGCUCAUAGAUACAGUAGCUGACCUACCAUCGCCAAAUUUCUUCCAGCUCCACUCCUUCUUUAUUUGGAAACCUGAGAGUGCUAUCAUGAUCAGGUUAAGAAACAAUUAUAUCUUGCCAUGUCUCCAUGGUUGCUUUCGUCCACAAGUGGUUUCUGCUGGUGUGGGCAGGCCAUGAGUAAUUGUUGGCACCAGUGGUCAGUAUUACAUCCUCUCCUCUUGACUCUGCUGCAGGGCUUGUAGCAGGAACUGGUUUGCUGACAAUCCACGAUGGCUGGAGAAACUGCCCGAAAGGUUUACCAACCUUCUCCCUGCUUUUCUGAUGUGCAAAAAGGCCAUAUGCCUAUGAAUGAGCUCAGGUGGACUGGUAAAUCUCCAGCAGACAUGGCAAACCAUAUAAAUGAACUCAUGCACCUCAAGUACGAACGAGCUCACCUGGCAUACCUCCAUGCCAUAGAAUCAGUCUGGGAUUUUUGAGGCAGGAGCACAUGGAGAGAGGACCAUUGGGCAGUUCCUGAGGAAGGAAAAUAAACCACAGGAGUUCGGGUCUUAUGAAGACCCACAUGCCUGGUGUGGCGUCUCUGUGUCCAGCCAUUACCUGACUGACUACCUGCUCGACGAAUUCCGACGUCAACAUCCAGCCACAUCCAAACUCCUCCAAGGCACUUUUGGGCACAUCUUCAGGUCUGACCACACCACGAACGUGGCACGAAAAGUCACACUGGCAUCUGGGGUCAUGUCCAGUUAUUCCAUAAUGAAUGAAAACUGGCUGAUUGUUUCAUGGGUCAUGGUUCAGUCUGAGACGGAAAGGUCCUUGGAGCCCAUGUACCAGGGAAUGGCCAAGAGAUACAGUGCUGUGCUCCAUUUGAGAUCCCAGACUGCAUCCCUGGUGAAAAUCUAUCGUGGGAUGCCUGGAAAACUACUCCUGCUAUUGUUGCUACGGCCACAUCUGGACCAGUGGCAAACACCUGUGCCUCUCGAACCCACUACAAUAACAACAUUAUUGUGAAACUGGACCUGUUCCACUGCCUGAGGCGAUUUUCACGGGAGUGCACCUCUGAGCAUCAUCCUCUGUUCAGCACUUUCUGCCAGCUUCUCUCUGCUGCCUUCUCAGUGGUUGAUCAGGCGGACCUGAAGAGGCUCCAGGAUGCUUCUGUGUUAUCCAUCCUGCUAAUUCCACUAAGCAACACAUACGAGAGCACUGCAUGAUCAAAAUACCACAGCCCACAGAGCUGCUGAGCAGAGUGGAAAAAGUCCUGAACCAUUUUCACCUGGCCACAGACCCCAACAACGUCCCACUCUUCAAGCCAUCCAUGCUGAAGGCGUGGCGCAUACAGAGAGUGCACAUUCUGCGUGGCUGCCUCAGUGACCCUGAACUCUCAGAGGGUGUAAUGAUUAGGUAUGGUGGGACUCUUCAGACCCUUCAGAGUGACCUGUCAGGAGAAGUACCCGGCACUUCACCUCUCUGACAGAGACACUGGAGAGCGAUUUGGACUUGAAUACAUUGAGCCAGGCUGCCGUCCAGUCCCUCUGAACUGGGACAAACACAAAACCCUGAAGAAAGAUGAACCGGCUGCCCUUCAGCCCCCGUCCUCUGUUCCAAAACCUGUGUCUGCACAACUUCAGGUUCCAGCAGCAGGACCCUCCUCCAGUUUGGCACCGCUAGGCGUGGCAUCCCCUGCACCACCUGUCACCCACCCUUUCUCUAUUGGUGCACUUUUAAAGUAGGAGAUACCAUCAGAAGACACCCAGCAACUUACAACAGUCAUGGAAAUCUUUGAAGCUCUACCUCUGCCGAUGCGGUCCUCACCAAGGAGUGCUCGCACUGGACCUAUAAAGACAGGUGGACGGGUUUUUGUGCUGGACCACGAGGCAACAGGCAAUAGAUGACUUGCUGCAAAAGCACCAUGGGAAGAAGGACAUUCUGAAGCUUGCGGAUCAAAAUUAUGCAAACAUGGUCCAUCGUUCUGCUACAGAUCCCAACAGCUUUCUGCACCCCACAUCCAAGGUGCACAUAUCCCGUUAUGUGAAGCACUUGGCUAAGCUUCUCAACACCAGUUCUUCUUUGAACACAACCCAUCAUAGCAGAAGGAAUCUCAGCAGUGACUGGAGUUUGCACAACCCCCACCCCAGAGUCAACAGGCUGAUAGUGAUGAAGAUGAAGAUGGAGACUGGGACAGGGUUCUGAGUGACCACGGUGAGGAGGAGAAAGGAGAGGAGGCGGGCUGCACGGUUGAGGAUCUGAAACACAGAAUGGCAGAAGCAGAAGAGCAACAGAUUUAAAGCAUGCAGAGUGGUGGCUGACUUGCUCGGAGAAGGCAGGCAAGAGCAUGACUGAAAUAAAGUAAUGAUGUCAAUACUGAGUUUGAUUGUGCUGGAAAAUUGAAUAGAUAUAAACUAGCAGCCACCAGG